GCCGGCUUAGCUCAGUGGUAGAGCAGCGCUUUUGUAAAGCGAAGGUCAUCGGUUCAAAUCCGUUAGUCGGCUC
rnacentral:tRNA from 1 species